CACGUUUUUACAGGAUUUCUCCAUGACAAGGAUUGACAACAACUCCAAUAUGCUGUUCUCUGCUGUGGUAAUCUCUGUCGUAUGGUACUUCAUUGGUAUCAACCCCAAGAGGGGAACAAAAGCCAGCCAGGGGAAGGUGGUGUCCAAGAAGACCAGGAAGCUGGUCCAGAAAAAGGCAGCAACUGUGAAUGCCCAUGUGGUCACCCUUAUAAAAAAAACUCCUGGACAUUGAGUGAGGCUUCAUGUAGUAACACAUCUCCACACAGGACUUAUAGCCUUGUUUGAGUUGAGUAGUGAUAGUUCCAGGUUGAUUCCCUUUCUAUUGCACGUCAUGAUCAUAACUCAUGGAUACUGAAGGCAGGGUACAGUUUUAAGUAUGGUAUGAAAAUUGUUGAAAGAACCUGCUUGAAAUGAUUAAUUGUUGUUAUGGAUUGUGUUUUACAAGAAUUACAUUACUUGAAAUUUGUUAGCUGCUGAAGGUGUAUGAAGCAGUGGCUUUAAUACAUAAUGUUACAUGGCCAUCUCUUCAUAUUCAAAGUUCAAGAAAAAAUUAUACUGAAUAUAGGUUACAUGGACUAGGCUAGUAAAGCAAGAACUGCUUCAGAAAUAGCAUUUUACUGUAUUGUAUUUUAGAGAAAUGUACUUAUUUUGAAAUUUGUCAUUUAAUUUUUUUGAUAACAUAUUGACUUUAAUAAAUGCCAAAUGUUGCACUAAAAUAACAGUAUAACUGCAACCAAAAAAACAGUAUUAUACUGUAAUGCUUAGAUUCUAUACAGCACAUUACUGUAAUAUUUUUUAAUAAAGUGUUGUUAUUGAUUACAGUAGUUACACUGUAGAAUAAUAGUUUCAUGCUGGCAACUGCAGCUACUGUAUUUUACUGUUUAAUGACAAAAUUUGUUAUAGCGUAGGCUUGUGAAAUAUAAUAAAAUGUAUUGCAGAAGGGUC